rnacentral:tRNA from 1 species
GGGCCUAUAGUUUAAUAGGUAUAACAUACCGCUCAUAACGGUGAAAAUGUAGGUUCAAGUCCUACUAGGCCCA